UACCUAAUAGUUUGGUGGGUACUUUAUAAAAAAAAUAAGUGUCGAAGAUCAUAGGAUUCGAUGUUUUCGUAGAAACUGUUGCCCAGGUUUACCCAAUAGUGAUCCCUUGGCACAUUCCUUUAAACCAUUGAUAAUUUCAGAUAUAUGGUUUUUAACUUUCGAAAACUUACUAAAACCGACUAAAACGUAGCUUUGGCUAUGAAGCAAAGUUUGUUUGGUGACUUCCACUUUCCGGCGAAAAAAACUUUACAAAUUAGAUAUUAUAUAUCUUUUAUGUAUGGGAGACUAGGUGGUGGGUGGUGGUGUUGGACUGAGGAUUAAUUCAAGAAGAAGGCGAGCCUCGAUGACUAUGCGCCAUUUCGCCGAAUAAUUUACACUAGCACAACCAUCGUCUUCCAUUCUCUCUCUCUCGCCGCCAAGCAAUCUGUGUUUCAAACGUUAACAGGAGAGAGGACCGUCGAUAGAGAGAGAGGCGAACUUGAGUCGAAUACAUAAGAUAAGUGAAUUAAACCCUCCCUCGUUAAGGCAAGCUGCUUUGCUAUACAGCUCCCACCAAUGUAUUUUCAACCGUUUGUUGUUCCUCGAAUAAUUUUUUUAUUCCGUUUCUUCUAGUGUUCUGUCGAAUAAACUUUUAGAUGCCCAUACUAAUUUUUCCACAGAAGAGUUGCUUACCCUUUCUUUCUUUUGAAUAUUACCGCUGUCAAAACGAGGAAAAGUGGACUGUAAAAGUUUAUACGACAGAACACUGUAAUCUUCUCUGCCGUCGCCGCCCUUUUUCCUCCCCUCAGUUUUGCUCUUUAUGUUUCCGAGUACGUGUAGUAAUUGCCGCUUUAUAAUGUGCGGCGUAAUAAACUAACCUAGUAUCAGAGUAGUAGUAACUGCGCUUCCAUUUCCACGCCAAACUUCUGCUGACAGUUCUCGGUGGAUAAACUCCAGUUAACCAACGUUCACGAGCCGUCGCGAGUGCUAUCGUCAACCACCGUCUAGCAGUUCGCCGGUGGACAUGACGGUAAUACAAGAAGCGCUCCCGUUCUUUUUGCUCCCAAGGAGCGCAAGGAGAUCAGAAAACCGAAAAAGCGAGAGGAGGGGAAGGUUUCUAUGUGAAAAGAAGCGAAGCAAAGAUGGAAAGGAGUGCAAAAGAAGCUAUAGCUACGAUUUAAAUCUUGCCUCCUGUUAUGAACUUGAUUAGAAAACAAAUUUGAGAGGCAGCAACACAUUUUGACACUACAAUGACAGAAAAGCAACCCGAUAUUCAUCACCUUUGUUUAAUUAUAUUAGCCGAGUCUAUAAUACUGGACGGAAUUGAGAGCGAGUGCUCAGACAAUGGAUUACGACAACGGCCUUGCUCUCUGUCUAUAUAACGAGACCGGCGUGAACUUGCCCACUUUUCUAUUUUUUGGCAAAUCAGUUAUACAUAAAAAAGCUUUGAAUUACUUACAGAACUUGUCAAAUUUCCCCGCCAUCGAACUCAAGUCUUCACAAUUCGAAUUCCGUAAAGCACAAAAACAAGUCAUCUCCUGUUCAAUUACUUGAACAUUGUUCUUUUGGAUUUUUUAUUCUGUUCCAAUUGAAGCUUCCAUUUUCAAUUGAGGUAGUUGCAACAAAAACAUAAACACGUACGCACCGUGUAAAAAACGUGGUGAACAUACCCAUCCCCUUUGCGCCAGGAAAUUCUGGCAGCAAAAAUGUUAUACCAUUACCAUGUUGCCAUAUUUUUUUGUUUUAUUUCAAAAUAUGGCAAUGCUUUCUCAACAAGGUCCACAUCGCUGUCAUAACAAGGCCCACAUCGCUGUCGUAUAGCCAAGUGGGCUUUAUAUUAUCGCUAUAUGGCUUUAGGGGAAACUUAUAUAGGCUGUUCUUGAGGCCGUCAGGCCGUUAAAAUCCGUAAAAACCACAUCUCUAAGAUUCUAUGGGUCAGAAUAAGAGGAAAAAAUAGAGAGGAGAAUAAGAGAAUGAGAACAGCCCCAAGAUAUAGAAAAGAGAAGAAACUCUUAGAAAGUCUAGUAAAAGACCUUUUCUGUGAUACUGGUCAUCGGUUUGGCCCGCCAACUAAACAAUUGAAAUAACAAUGGAGUCUACCAAAAUUGAUCCCGUUGAUUUCUUCUUGACUAAUCUUCAUAGUUCAUCUUGUAUCUCGUUCCUCAAGUGGUGUUGAAAUACCGCAGAAACUAUACGACAACCUAAGACAGAAAAUCGUAACAAAAUAAAGGAAAGAUAAGCCAAAGGACCAACCGCCGUCUCUCUUCCUAUUGAUGAAGAUGAAGAAAGACUUCCCUUUCAUUUCAUUUUUCUUCUUCGCUACUUCUUGUGUCAGUUUCGCCAUUUAUCGCUUUUAUCACCUUUUACGCUGCGUGAAUAGAUUAGAAUAUCGGGAAUGAUGCGGCAAGACCAUUUCUCAUCAGAAUUUUUUGGGGAAAGGGGUUUUCGAAUGAGCAAUACUGUUGAACGAGCUUAUUGGGUCGGCCCAGCUAAUCACCCAUUUUUUUUUAUUUUUAUAUUAAAAAUAAACAAUUACAAUGAUUGAAAUGUUAUAUAUUUUAUCUUAACUGUUUUGUGAUAUCUAUAUAAAUUUUGGCAAAAUAAAAACUGGAUUAGAUUUUGAUAUACAUAUAAUCGCCGAAAUCGGUCACAACGGCUCUUUCUUUUCACUACUCUCUCAUAGCGACAGACGUGUGCGCAAUACAAGUGAACAAGAACGCAUUCCAGCAAGUUAUGUAUUCGAUCUCUUUUUCUACUAUUCAACUUCCGCGUCCAUGGUUGGAUGUAUGACUAAUUCUCCUGGAGAUCUAACUGGGAAGAUCGCUAAUCAUUUAAUAACAAAUUUAAAUUUGCCUUUGCGAAUUAUAUUGUACGAAAUGCUAAUUAAACAAUUUUUUAUUAUUAUUGCUACAGUAUCACAAUCUGCGGUUUUUAGAAAAGGGAGGAAUUAAACCGUCAUCAGUAUUUUUCAUGGCUAACGGAGUUCUAGUUGUUCAAGGGAAAGGUGUUUGUGCCGAACUUUACAAUGUUCACUGGUGAAGAACUUAUCGAUACAACCGAACCCUUUCUGGAAAGAUGUACUUCAAAACUGUUGACAGUGCCGAAUCGGUUUUACUGUAUAGUGCCAAAUGUGACAAAAUUCAUCCCUAGUGCCGAAAGUGUAGGCAAACAUUUUUGUGAAUCCCAAUUUUCCAAUAAACCUACAGUGAAGGGAUAUGUUACAGGAAUGCUAAUCGAUAAUUUAAUUUUCCAUAAAUUUUCUUUAAACAAACAAGAGAUAAUUAUUACAAAUUACUCAUUCAGACGCAGGGUCUCGACUUAUUCGUCCAACGCUUGCUAGGAAGAAGCAAAUGAAAACAAAUUAAAAGUAACCGAGUAUUGCAAACGUGCACCCUGCUUUCCGAAAUUCUUCUCUGUUUCCCUCUUUUCUUUUCAUAUAGGCUAAACUUUUAGUUUUAAUUCGGAAAGCUCAAUGCCUGGAAGGAGACGGAGCGCCUUGCAAGUGGCUCGGGUUCUUAUCGCUUGGCUACUUUCGAUCGACACUUCUCAAUAAAUGUCGUUAUCCAUCAGGGAUAAAUAUCAUGUUGUGGUUUUAAAUUUCUUAUUUGGAAACCCUUUCCAUGUGUAGAUGUAUGCCUAUCAUAAAGAAGGUCUAAAUGGCCCCUUGCCCGUGGGUUUGAGAUCCCCCAAUCAUUUAUUCACUUGUCGUGCCACGGAACAAAGCAAGGUUUUAUUAAUUUUUACAAAAAUCAAACAGCAACAUAAAACACAGUGUUACUUGUGAACUUGCACUGAUGGACUGAUUGAACACCCAGUUCACACACGACAUGAAAAAGUAGCCCCAAAUAUUGCAGAGUCCGUGGUCUCUAGAGAGUUGAGCUAUAUAGCGGGGGGGGGACUAAUGCUUCAGGGCAAAUGAAACCAGCAGUUAAAGUUAGUUAAAUUAAAAAAGCCAUCAAUUCCAAUUUGUGCAUAAAUUUAAAAACAUUUCUUUAAAAACAUUGUUAAUGGCAUUAAGUUAUGAAUACAGAACGUUUGAAUAUUUAUUUUGCAAUCUUAAAUCAAUUUAUAAGCUUUGACAAAUUUGUACAAUUAUUUUCAAUUUGUGACUCUGUUUGAACUUCCAAUAUCCGUAUUAACGUCCAAAAUGGCAUGUUAAUUAUGAACGCGACCUACAGGAGAGUUGGUCAAAGCAGGCAGAGCUGGAAGUUCUCGGUAGACGUAGACAAUAGCUUGGUGUUCAGGUAAUAAAAUAAAAAUGUAUGAAUCAAUCAGGGUUCAGGUAUUGUUUAUUGUGUUGUAAUAUAAAAUCAAAAACAUUUGUUUAAGGUUGGAAGUGACGGCAGUUUGAUUGCAAAUUUGCAGAUAAGCAUUUGCAAAUUUGUU